rnacentral:rRNA from 1 species
UACAGAGGUCUCAAGCGUUGUUCGGAUUCAUUGGGCGUAAAGGGUGCGUAGGCGGCGCGGUUAAGUCGGGUGUGAAAUCUCGGAGCUUAACUCCGAAACUGCAUUCGAUACUGCCGUGCUUGAGGACUGGAGAGGAGACUGGAAUUUACGGUGUAGCGGUGAAAUGCGCAGAUAUCAGGAGGAACACCAAUUGCGAAGGCAGCUCGCUGGGACGUUACUGACGCUGAGACGCGAAAGCGUGGGGAGCAAACAGG